GAUGAACGCUGGCGGCGCGCCUAACACAUGCAAGUCGAACGGCACCCACCUUCGGGUGGAAGCGAGUGGCGAACGGCUGAGUAACACGUGGAGAACCUGCCCCCUCCCCCGGGAUAGCCGCCCGAAAGGACGGGUAAUACCGGAUACCCCGGGGUGCCGCAUGGCACCCCGGCUAAAGCCCCGACGGGAGGGGAUGGCUCCGCGGCCCAUCAGGUAGACGGCGGGGUGACGGCCCACCGUGCCGACAACGGGUAGCCGGGUUGGGGAACCGACCGGCCAGAUUGGGACUGAGACACGGCCCAGGCUCCUACGGGAGGCAGCAGUGGGGAAUCUUGCGCAAGGGGGGGAGCCCUGACGCAGCGACGCCGCGUGCGGGACGGAGGGCUUCGGGUCGUAAACCGCUUUCAGCAGGGAAGAGUCAAGACUGUACCUGCAGAAGAAGCCCCGGCUAACUACGUGCCAGCCGCCGCGGUAAUAC
rnacentral:rRNA from 1 species